UACAGAGGUCUCAAGCGUUGUUCGGAUUCAUUGGGCGUAAAGGGUGCGUAGGCGGCGCGGUAAGUCGGGUGUGAAAUCUCGGAGCUUAACUCCGAAACUGCAUUCGAUACUGCCGUGCUUGAGGACUGGAGAGGAGACUGGAAUUUACGGUGUAGCGGUGAAAUGCGUAGAUAUCGUAAGGAAGACCAGUGGCGGAAGGCGGGUCUCUGGACAGUUCCUGACGCU
rnacentral:rRNA from 1 species